rnacentral:rRNA from 1 species
UACGUAGGUGGCAAGCGUUGUCCGGAUUUACUGGGCGUAAAGGGCGUGCAGGCGGUCUGUUAAGUGCAGGGUGAAAGCUCCCGGCUCAACUGGGAGAGGUCCUUGCAUACUGGCGGACUUGAGGGGGGUAGAGGAAAGUGGAAUUCCCGGUGUAGUGGUGAUAUGCGUAGAUAUCGGGAGGAACACCUGUGGCGAAGGCGGCCUUCUGGGCCCUACCUGACGCUGAGACGCGAAAGCGUGGGGAGCGAACCGG